rnacentral:lncRNA from 1 species
AGCAAUCGACCUCCCAUGUAGAGCAUUCCAAAACUGGAUCUGGCCAAGGCGAUCAUGACGCAAUUACCACGCCCCCAUCCAUUGAAGCUUCACCUGCCCCUCCUUCUGUUGAUGGUAAUGAUGGUGCCCCGUCACUCAACUUGAACUCUCUGUCAUCAUCUUCCGCUUGCAGUCAGGGGAAAGAUGAGGCACCUCCCACAUUUGAAGAAUCACACCCAACCGUGGAAGGUUCAGAAGCUAUUGAGGCAACCUGUACAUCGAAGUCAGAGGCUCCUGACAAGUCUAGCGAAUCUCAUGGAUCAUCAAUAAA